CAACUCUAGACGGGGGAUCACUCGGCUCGUGCGUCGAUGAAGAGCGCAGCCAGCUGCGUUACUUAAUGUGAAUUGCAGGACACAUUGAACAUCGACAUCUUGAACGCAUAUUGCGGCCUCGGGUCCAUCUCGGGGGCCACGCCUGUCUGAGGGUCGGCGAC
rnacentral:rRNA from 1 species